GCGCGAUUAGUCUAGUGGUCAGGAUCUCGGCCUUCCAAGCCGAUGACCCGGGUUCAAUUCCCGGAUCGCGCA
rnacentral:tRNA from 1 species